rnacentral:lncRNA from 1 species
GCAGAUGGAAGAAGUUGAUAAGAGAUCUUGGUUAAUAAAACGGGUUGCGCAGGUAUCGGAAGGCCCCGGUAGGGGGAUGGGCAUGAUCAUGGAUGAGGUUGAGAUUGUUGCUCCCCAACUGGGGGGUAGAUGGAGGAGAGGAAGGGGUUCAUGUUCCAAGUAAGGGAGCAGUAAGGGAAAAUGACUCCCAAGUUAUGGAGGGGAGCAGUGAAAAGUGGGGGGAGCAAGGGCAAAGCAUUAACUCGUCAAUACAUAGUUGGGAGGUAAAUGAGGUUUCAUCCCAGUCAAUGGAACAAGAGCACACCCCGAGAACAAUUCAACUUAGGCCGAAUUGUCCCUCGUUCUCUCCUCCCCUGCUUUGUACCAGGCUUGGAAUAGUGUCGG